rnacentral:rRNA from 1 species
UCGGGAAUUUUGGGCAAUGGGCGAAAGCCUGACCCAGCAACGCCGCGUGAAGGAUGAAGUAUUUCGGUAUGUAAACUUCGAAAGAAUAGGAAGAAUAAAUGACGGUACUAUUUAUAAGGUCCGGCUAACUACGUGCCAGCAGCCGCGGUAAUACGUAGGGACCAAGCGUUGUUCGGAUUUACUGGGCGUAAAGGGCGCGUAGGCGGCAAUUCAAGUCAUCUGUGAAAUCUCCGGGCUUAACUCGGAACGGUCAGAUGAUACUGCUUUGCUAGAGUGCAGAAGGGGCAAUCGGAAUUCUUGGUGUAGCGGUGAAAUGCGUAGACAUCAAGAGGAACACCUGAGGUGAAGACGGGUUGCUGGGCUGACACUGACGCUGAGGCGCGAAAGCCAGGGGAGCAAACGGGAUUAGAUACCCAAGUAGUCCCUGAGCGGGCUGGCAAGGCGCAU